GACAGAGGGUGCGAACGUUGCUCGGAAUUACUGGGCGUAAAGCGCGUGUAGGUGGGUCGAUAAGUCGGGCGUGAAAUCCCUGGGCUCAACCCGGGAACUGCGCUCGAAACUGCCGAUCUUGAGUGCCGGAGAGGGUGGCGGAAUUCCUGGUGUAGAGGUGAAAUUCGUAGAUAUCAGGAGGAACACCGGUGGCGAAGGCGGCCACCUGGACGGCUACUGACACUGGGACGCGAAAGCCAGGGGAGCGAACGGG
rnacentral:rRNA from 1 species